rnacentral:rRNA from 1 species
GAGUGAGUGGCGGACGGGUGAGUAACACGUGGGUAACCUGCCCUAAGUGGGGAGUAACAUUUGGAAACAGAUGCUAAUACCGCAUAAAACCUAACACCGCAUGGUGUAGGGUUGAAAGAUGGUUUCGGCUAUCACUUUAGGAUGGACCCCGCGGUGCAUUAGUUGGUUGGUGAGGUAAAGGCUCACCAAGACCGUGAUGCAUAGCCGACCUGAGAGGUAAUCGGCCACACUGGGACUGAGACACGGCCCAGACUCCUACGGGAGGCAGCAGUAGGGAAUCUUCCACAAUGGACGAAAGUCUGAUGGAGCAACGCCGCGUGAGUGAAGAAGGUUUUCGGAUCGUAAAACUCUGUUGUUGGAGAAGAAUGUAUCUGAUAGUAACUGAUCAGGUAGUGACGGUAUCCAACCAGAAAGCCACGGCUAACUACGUG